ACCUGUCACAUUCCAUCCUACCAAUAAACUUCAGUCUGCUUCUGGACCUCAGACUCCGGGAUGGCCAGCCCUACUUUCCCUAAGAAGCACUCUCCUCCACCAUGGAAGGAGACUGAUCGUCACCUGUCCUCUGGGGGGACCAAUAGCAAUUGUUCCAUCCCCCCAAAGAGGAGUUGGGCUCUGUUUUUUGGCCUCAGUCCUCGAUCGUUUUUUUUUCUCCUUCAAUUUUUUCUGCAUCCAUUUCCCUGACAAUGGAAUAAAGACAACAAAGGCUAACCAUUCUUGGUUCCUUCAACUUAUCCUUAUACUGCAUGGUCUCAAGUCCCCCUCAUCAGCCUGGUGACCUUCAUUUCAUCUGGAUGCUUUCCAACCUGUCCACGUCCUUUGUAACAUAUGAUAUCCAGAACUGAGCACAGCCCUUGAGACGUGGUCCAACCAGAGCAGAGAACAUCAAGACCAACACAUUCUGUGUUAUGAAUACUUUUGAUAAAUUUUUAAAAUCUAA